rnacentral:lncRNA from 1 species
GAGAACGAAAACUCAAACGACCAACUAACAAGGUAGUCCCAAAAUACACCAACAAGGUAUCAAAGUGUCCUGUGAAUAUCAGUGCCCUGGGUGUCCAAAACGUGAUGGUAUAAGCCCGAAGGAGGAGGAACUGCAUGUGUGGAAUAGGCUGGAAAGGAAUCAGCAGUCAUAUCUGGACCAAGAUCAGUGUCUGUAGUCGAUACAGGAAAGCUAACCGCACCACUGUCAAUAAGAUCCUGUAUGGUAUGACGUAGAGAAGCACAAUAAUCAGUACGGUGGCCUGCCAUCUGGUGAAAUGCACAGAACUCAUG